rnacentral:tRNA from 1 species
GGUAGCACAGCUUGGAAUUGAAGAGCUCUGGCUCUGGGUCAGCCAAGUACCUGGGUUCAAAUCCCAGUUCUGCCA